AACGCACAUUGCGCCUGCUAGCAUUCUGGCAGGCAUGCCUGUCCGAGCGUCAUUUCCACCCUCACGCUCCCCGCGUGGUGUUGGGGCUCUCUCGCUACGAGAGGCCCCGAAAGCCAGUGGCGGACCGCCUGGUUUGGCUCCGAGCGCAGUAAACUUUACUUCUCGCUCUGGACGGCCAGCGGCCCUGCCGUGAAACCGUGCCUCGCAAGAGCACAAAUCUUCACAAGGUUGACCUCGGAUCAGGUAGGACUACCCGCUGAACUUAA
rnacentral:misc_RNA from 1 species